rnacentral:rRNA from 1 species
CUGGGUGGAUUAGUGGCGAACGGGUGAGUAACACGUGAGUAACCUGCCCUUAACUCUGGGAUAAGCCUGGGAAACUGGGUCUAAUACCGGAUAGGAGCGCCCACCGCAUGGUGGGUGUUGGAAAGAUUUAUCGGUUUUGGAUGGACUCGCGGCCUAUCAGCUUGUUGGUGAGGUAAUGGCUCACCAAGGCGACGACGGGUAGCCGGCCUGAGAGGGUGACCGGCCACACUGGGACUGAGACACGGCCCAGACUCCUACGGGAGGCAGCAGUGGGGAAUAUUGCACAAUGGGCGAAAGCCUGAUGCAGCGACGCCGCGUGAGGGAUGACGGCCUUCGGGUUGUAAACCUCUUUCAGUAGGGAAGAAGCGAAAGUGACGGUACCUGCAGAAGAAGCACCGGCUAACUACGUGCCAGCAGCCGCGGUAAUACGUAGGGUGCGAGCGUUAUCCGGAAUUAUUGGGCGUAAAGAGCUCGUAGGCGGUUUGUCGCGUCUGUCGUGAAAGUCCGGGGCUUAACCCCGGAUCUGCGGUGGGUACGGGCAGACUAGAGUGCAGUAGGGGAGACUGGAAUUCCUGGUGUAGCGGUGGAAUGCGCAGAUAUCAGGAGGAACACCGAUGGCGAAGGCAGGUCUCUGGGCUGUAACUGACGCUGAGGAGCGAAAGCAUGGGGAGCGAACAGGAUUAGAUACCCUGGUAGUCCAUGCCGUAAACGUUGGGCACUAGGUGUGGGGACCAUUCCACGGUUUCCGCGCCGCAGCUAACGCAUUAAGUGCCCCGCCUGGGGAGUACGGCCGCAAGGCUAAAACUCAAAGGAAUUGACGGGGGCCCGCACAAGCGGCGGAGCAUGCGGAUUAAUUCGAUGCAACGCGAAGAACCUUACCAAGGCUUGACAUGUUCUCGAUCGCCGUAGAGAUACGGUUUCCCCUUUGGGGCGGGUUCACAGGUGGUGCAUGGUUGUCGUCAGCUCGUGUCGUGAGAUGUUGGGUUAAGUCCCGCAACGAGCGCAACCCUCGUUCCAUGUUGCCAGCACGUCGUGGUGGGGACUCAUGGGAGACUGCCGGGGUCAACUCGGAGGAAGGU